AUCAUCAUCAUACCUCCCUGUUGGACUUGGCCGGACUUUAUGUCCGGCCUUUUUU
rnacentral:ncRNA from 1 species